rnacentral:rRNA from 1 species
AGUGAACGCUGGCGGUAGGCCUAACACAUGCAAGUCGAACGGCAGCACAGUAAGAGCUUGCCCUUACGGGUGGCGAGUGGCGGACGGGUGAGGAAUACAUCGGAAUCUACUUUUUCGUGGGGGAUAACGUAGGGAAACUUACGCUAAUACCGCAUACGACCUACGGGUGAAAGCAGGGGAUCUUCGGACCUUGCGCGAUUGAAUGAGCCGAUGUCGGAUUAGCUAGUUGGCGGGGUAAAGGCCCACCAAGGCGACGAUCCGUAGCUGGUCUGAGAGGAUGGUCAGCCACACUGGAACUGAGACACGGUCCAGCCUCCUACGGGAGGCAGAAGUGGGGAAUAUUGGACAAUGGGCGCAAGCCUGAUCCAGCCAUACCGCAUGGGUGAAGAAGACCUUCGAGUUGUAAAGCCCUUUUGUUGGGAAAGAAAAGCAGCAGGUUAAUACCCCGCUGUUCUGACGGUACCCAAAGAAUCAGCACCGGCUAACUUCGUG